GCUAGCGACAGGCUUAACACAUGCAAGUCGAGGGGCAGCACAAGUAGCAAUACCGGGUGGCGACCGGCGCACGGAUGAGUAACGCGUAUGCGACUUGCCUAUCAGAGGGGGAUAACCCGGCGAAAGUCGGACUAAUACCGCAUGAAGCAGGGGCCCCGCAUGGGGAUAUUUGCUAAAGAUUCAUCGCUGAUAGAUAGGCAUGCGUUCCAUUAAGCAGUUGGCGGGGUAACGGCCCACCAAACCGACGAUGGAUAGGGGUUCUGAGAGGAAGGUCCCCCACAUUGGUACUGAGACACGGACCAAACUCCUACGGGAGGCAGCAGUGAGGAAUAUUGGUCAAUGGGCGUAAGCCUGAACCAGCCAAGUCGCGUGAGGGAUGAAGGUUCUAUGGAUCGUAAACCUCUUUUAUAAGGGAAUAAAGUGCGGGACGUGUCCCGUUUUGUAUGUACCUUAUGAAUAAGGAUCGGCUAACUCCGUGCCAGCAGCCGCGGUAAUACGGAGGAUCCGAGCGUUAUCCGGAUUUAUUGGGUUUAAAGGGUGCGUAGGCGGCCUUUUAAGUCAGCGGUGAAAGUCUGUGGCUCAACCAUAGAAUUGCCGUUGAAACUGGGAGGCUUGAGUAUGUUUGAGGCAGGCGGAAUGCGUGGUGUAGCGGUGAAAUGCUUAGAUAUCACGCAGAACCCCGAUUGCGAAGGCAGCCUGCCAAGCCAUUACUGACGCUGAUGCACGAAAGCGUGGGGAUCAAACAGGAUUAGAUACCCUGGUAGUCCACGCAGUAAACGAUGAUCACUAGCUGUUUGCGAUACACUGUAAGCGGCACAACGAAAGCGUUAAGUGAUCCACAUGGGGAGUACGCCGGCAACGGUGAAACUCAAAGGAAUUGACGGGGGCCCGCACAAGCGGAGGAACAUGUGGUUCAAUUGGAUGAUACGCGAGGAACUUUACCCGGGUUUGAACGCAUUUUGACAGGUGUGGAAACAGAGCGUAUAGCAAUAGCGAUUUGCGAGGUGCUGCAUGGUUGUCGUCAGCUCGUGCCGUGAGGUGUCGGCUUAAGUGCCAUAACGAGCGCAACCCUUGCCACUAGUUACUAACAGGUAAAGCUGAGGACUCUGGUGGGACUGCCAGCGUAAGAUGCGAGGAAGGCGGGGAUGACGUCAAAUCAGCACGGCCCUUACAUCCGGGGCGACACACGUGUUACAAUGGCGUGGACAAAGGGAGGCCACCUGGAGACAGGGAGCGAAUCCCCAAACCACGUCUCAGUUCGGAUCGGAGUUUGCAACCCGACUCUCGUGAAGCUGGAUUCGUUAGUAAUCGCGCAUCAGCCAUGGCGCGGUGAAUACGUUCCCGGGCCUUGUACACACCGCCCGUCAAGCCAUGGGAGCCGGGGGUACGUGAAGUCCGUAACCGAAAGGAUCGGCCUAGGGUAAAACUGGUGACUGGGGCUA
rnacentral:rRNA from 1 species